rnacentral:rRNA from 1 species
UAGGGAAUCUUCCACAAUGGACGAAAGUCUGAUGGAGCAACGCCGCGUGAGCGAAGAAGGUUUUCGGAUCGUAAAGCUCUGUUGCGAGGGAAGAACAAGUACGGGAGUAACUGCCCGUACCUUGACGGUACCUCGUCAGAAAGCCACGGCUAACUACGUGCCAGCAGCCGCGGUAAUACGUAGGUGGCAAGCGUUGUCCGGAAUUAUUGGGCGUAAAGCGCGCGCAGGCGGUCCUUUAAGUCUGAUGUGAAAGCCCACGGCUCAACCGUGGAGGGUCAUUGGAAACUGGAGGACUUGAGUACAGAAGAGGAAAGCGGAAUUCCACGUGUAGCGGUGAAAUGCGUAGAGAUGUGGAGGAACACCAGUGGCGAAGGCGGCUUUCUGGUCUGUAACUGACGCUGAGGCGCGAAAGCAUGGGGAGCAAACAGG